UGGAGGCAGCAGUGGGGAAUAUUGCGCAAUGGGCGAAAGCCUGACGCAGCGACGCCGCGUGGGUGACGAAGGCCUUCGGGUCGUAAAACCCUGUCGGGUGGAACGAAUCUCCUCUCUCCAAAUAGGAAAGAGGAUUGACGGUACCACCGAAGGAAGCCCCGGCUAACUACGUGCCAGCAGCCGCGGUAAUACGUAGGGGGCGAGCGUUGUUCGGAUUUACUGGGCGUAAAGAGCGCGUAGGCGGUUCGUUAAGUCGGAGGUGAAAUCCCUCGGCUCAACCGAGGACCCGCGUCCGAUACUGGCGAACUUGAGUGCAGGAGAGGAGAGCGGAAUUCCCAGUGUAGCGGUGAAAUGCGUAGAUACUGGGAGGGACACCGGUGGCGAAGGCGGCUCUCUGGACUGCCACUUACGCUGAGGCGCGAAAGCUAGGGGAGCAAACGGGAUUAGAUACCCCAGUAGUCC
rnacentral:rRNA from 1 species